AUUGAACGCUGGCGGCAGGCCUAACACAUGCAAGUCGAGCGGAUGAAGGGAGCUUGCUCCUGGAUUCAGCGGCGGACGGGUGAGUAAUGCCUAGGAAUCUGCCUGGUAGUGGGGGAUAACGUCCGGAAACGGGCGCUAAUACCGCAUACGUCCUGAGGGAGAAAGUGGGGGAUCUUCGGACCUCACGCUAUCAGAUGAGCCUAGGUCGGAUUAGCUAGUUGGUGGGGUAAAGGCCUACCAAGGCGACGAUCCGUAACUGGUCUGAGAGGAUGGUCAGUCACCUGGGAACUGAGCCACGGUCCAGACUCCUACGGGAGGCAGCAGUGUGGAAUAUUGGACAGUGGGCGAAAGCCUGAUCCAGCCAUGCCGCGUGUGUGAAGAAGGUCUUCGGAUUGUAAAGCACUUUAAGUUGGGAGGAAGGGCAGUAAGUUAAUACCUUGCUGUUUUGACGUUACCAACAGAAUAAGCACCGGCUAACUUCGUG
rnacentral:rRNA from 1 species